rnacentral:rRNA from 1 species
UACGUAGGGUGCGAGCGUUAAUCGGAAUUACUGGGCGUAAAGCGUGCGCAGGCGGUUCGUUGUGUCCGAUGUGAAAGCCCCGGGCUUAACCUGGGAAUGGCAUUGGAGACUGGCGAGCUUGAGUGCGGCAGAGGGGGGUGGAAUUCCGCGUGUAGCAGUGAAAUGCGUAGAGAUGCGGAGGAACACCGAUGGCGAAGGCAGCCCCCUGGGUCGACACUGACGCUCAGGCACGAAAGCGUGGGGAGCAAACAGG